CGUCACUUCAUUAUUGGCUGCACCUGCGCAAUCAUGUGACGCGAUACAUUUUUUCAAAGACGUUUUUCAAGACACAGGAGAGGUCGGGUUGAAACAUUACUGAUGUUUCACGUUAAAAAUGGCUCUAAAGAUUGAUGCUAAACAACGUUUGACAUGUUUGAACAAUGUAAAUAGAUUAUUUUUUUUACUUUUCGCCGUGACUCCCCCCCGCUACUUUUUAGUAGCCUACCGAAGCGCUAACAACAUGGAACAACUUGGAGUUAUUUGGACAUCAAUUAUGAACUUUGUUGAAAGAAACCACAUUUGCAGUGGACCUGGGAUGCGUGGAAUUGCCAAUGGAUGAAGAGAAUCAAAGAUAUUCUAAAAGUGGAGGACAUCGAAUUUUCAGGAUUGUGGUCAUUGGUAACCUGAGCCGAGCAGGACAGUCAUCACACAAUACUUUGGCAGAAGUGCACCGCGCAGAAUCACCCCGGCCCGAGAAGGGUGACUGGUCUGAAAAAGAUUGGAUUCAAGAACAUGCUCUCUGUUAUGGAUACGACUCCAACGAUAGCUAUACAAGCCAAGCAGAAUCUACAAAGCCAGAGGACAUUGGGAAAGGACCCGCAUUAUCCAGGAUUCCUCAGAACAGCAGGCGCCAAAAAAAACAGAGGAUGGCUUCCUGAAAUUCCCCCAAGCAGCUGAUUGGUCGGCCCCCAUUGCUAAUUGGAGAGCUGACCACGCCCCCUCGUCAGGACACAGCUGUAUCCCAUUACAGACUCCUUCUCCAGCUAUAUAAGCCAGUGUUCUGUUGCUCAGAAGAGAGCUGAGGGUUAUAUCCUGGGUUGGUUGUUUCUCAGAUAGAGAUGAGUGUGUCCUGCGCUGGUUAUUGCUGAGAGACAGGUUUUUGUUAAGUACUUUGUAGCCGCUGCUUCUAAGGUAUGUGUGUCCCCAUAGGAGGCAGUGUUUUUGAUUAUUGAAAUAGUUUGUAUUAUUCUGUUUCAUUUGUUCCCAGGGGGGAAGGGGAAGGCACCUGGGGAGUGCUUAGGCAAGAGGCCCGCGGGCAUACAUAACCCAUAGUAUUCACUGUCUAUGCCUACUAGGUCAGACCUGGGCGGACCACCCCCUGUAUUUUGGUUAGUGCACCAGGUGGUGCUAGUUAGGUAAGUAGUGGGUAGGCAGGUAAGGUAGGAGAGGGGGCUUUGACAUUUACUUUCUUUGCUUUGGUUCCGUCCAGCCCCUUUUCCCCAAAUUUAC
rnacentral:lncRNA from 1 species